UAGCCCUAAAUCUUGAUGACCCCAAACACAAACAUCCGCCUGAGAACUACGAGCACAAACGCUUAAAACUCUAAGGACUUGGCGGUGCUCUAAACCCACCUAGAGGAGCCUGUUCUAUAAUCGAUAACCCACGAUUCACCCGACCACCUCUUGCCAAAACAGCCUAUAUACCGCCGUCGCCAGCCCACCUCGUGAGAGCACAACAGUGAGCCCAACAGCCCACAGCCCGCUAACAAGACAGGUCGAGGUAUAGCCUAUGAGAUGGAAGAAAUGGGCUACAUUUUCUAAAAUAGAAAACCCAACGAAAAGGGGCUUGAAACCUGCCCCCAGAAGGCGGAUUUAGCAGUAAAGUAGGA
rnacentral:rRNA from 1 species